UGGGGAAUAUUGGACAAUGGGCGAAAGCCUGAUCCAGCCAUGCCGCGUGUGUGAAGAAGGCCUUUUGGUUGUAAAGCACUUUAAGUGGGGAGGAAAAGCUUAUGGUUAAUACCCAUAAGCCCUGACGUUACCCACAGAAUAAGCACCGGCUAACUCUGUGCCAGCAGCCGCGGUAAUACAGAGGGUGCAAGCGUUAAUCGGAAUUACUGGGCGUAAAGCGCGCGUAGGUGGUUAUUUAAGUCAGAUGUGAAAGCCCCGGGCUUAACCUGGGAACUGCAUCUGAUACUGGAUAACUAGAGUAGGUGAGAGGGGAGUAGAACUCCAGGUGUAGCGGUGAAAUGCGUAGAGAUCUGGAGGAAUACCGAUGGCGAAGGCAGCUCCCUGGCAUCAUACUGACACUGAGGUGCGAAAGCGUGGGUAGCAAACAGGAUUAGAUACCCUGGUAGUCCACGCCGUAAACGAUGUCUACCAGUCGUUGGGUCUUUUAAAGACUUAGUGACGCAGUUAACGCAAUAAGUAGACCGCCUGGGGAGUACGGCCGCAAGGUUA
rnacentral:rRNA from 1 species